UGGGGAAUCUUGCGCAAUGCGCGAAAGCGUGACGCAGCAACGCCGCGUGGGGGAAGAAGGCCUUCGGGUUGUAAACCCCUUUCAGUUGGGACGAAGCCUUCCCUGGUUAAGAGCUAGGGAGGUGACGGUACCUUCAGAAGAAGCCCCGGCUAACUACGUGCCAGCAGCCGCGGUAAUACGUAGGGGGCAAGCGUUGUCCGGAAUCAUUGGGCGUAAAGAGCGUGUAGGCGGCUCGAUAAGUCUGCUGUGAAAGUCCAGGGCUCAACCCUGGAAGGCCGGUGGAAACUGUCGGGGCUAGAGUCCGGAAGAGGCGAGUGGAAUUCCCGGUGUAGCGGUGAAAUGCGCAGAUAUCGGGAGGAACACCAAUGGCGAAGGCAGCUCGCUGGGACGGUACUGACGCUGAGACGCGAAAGCGUGGGGAGCAAACAGGAUUAGAUACCC
rnacentral:rRNA from 1 species